AGCAGGAUGAUGAAGCUGCUCUCAUUUGUUAUAAUACUGAUUCUACUUCAUCUGGUAACCUGCCCUCCUCCUGAUGAUGACGGCUAUUGUUACUUGAAAAGGUUUGACAAACGUUACAAACCUGGUGAAUUGUGGUGUGAACCGGAAACCUGUGGGAUAUGCUCUGGAAGAUUCAAUUGCCAAGUUGUCUGUACCAAUACGAAGUGUGACGAGGGAGUGAAGGGGGAGAGGUUCUGCGCUAAACAUGUUAAAUUCCUGCAUGCACAUCACAUUGAUAUGCAUGUUGACCCUUACGGAGAACUAGAACUAGAACUGGAACGAGUAGUGCAACUAGUAGAAAGACUAUUAGUAGAGUAAUCCAGGUUCAUCUGAUGAAUACUGGAAUGUUGUGAUGUCACAUCAGGUGAUAUACGACUAGGCUAUACAAAAUGAACUUAGUUACUCCAGACUAAAUAAUUACUACGAUUGCACCCGAAAUGUUGUUUACACUUUGUCAUAGUUAUUCCUAAACAUUACCAAUUGGAUGUGUCAAAUCUUUAUAAGCAAAUGAGUAACAUUAAAAUAAUGGACCGUACAAGGAUUUGUAGCUGUAUCAGUUAUAAGGGUGGUUAGUUAAAUUGUUAAUAUUUAAAU